rnacentral:rRNA from 1 species
CGCCAGACUCCUACGGGAGGCAGCAGUGGGGGAUAUUGCACAAUGGGGGGAACCCUGAUGCAGCGACGCCGCGUGGGUGAAGGAGCGUUUCGGCGCGUAAAGCCCUAUCGGCAGGGAAGAAGGAGGACGGUACCUGACUAAGAAGCCCCGGCUAACUACGUGCCAGCAGCCGCGGUAAUGCGUAGGGGGCAAGCGUUAUCCGGAUUUACUGGGUGUAAAGGGAGCGUAGACGGCGGCGCAAGUCCGGAGUGAAAGCCCACGGCCCAACCGUGGGACUGCUCUUGGAACUGCGUGGCUAGAGUGCAGGAGGGGCAGGCGGAAUUCCUGGUGUAGCGGUGAAAUGCGUAGAUAUCAGGAGGAACACCGGUGGCGAAGGCGGCCUGCUGGACUGCAACUGACGUUGAGGCCCGAAAGCGUGGGGAGCAAACAGGAUUAGAUACCCGUGUAA